GGGGGACUAGCUCAAAUGGUAGAGCGCUCGCUUAGCAUGCGAGAGGUACGGGGAUCAAUACCCCGGUUCUCCA
rnacentral:tRNA from 1 species